GACGAACGCUGGCGGCGUGCUUAAUACAUGCAAGUCAACUGAACUUGAAGUAGCAAUAUUUCAAGGGAGGUGGCGCACGGGUGAGUAACACGUAGGUAAUCUGCCUUUAGGUCUGACAUAAUUCCGCGAAAGCGGGACUAACUUCAGAUGAUGCAGCGGCUCGACAUCGAGACAGUUGUUAAAUCUUCGGAGCCUAAAGAUGAGCCUGCGUCUGAUUAGGUAGUUGGCGGAGUAAAAGCCCACCAAGCCUGCGAUCAGUAGCUGGUCUGAGAGGAUGAUCAGCCACACUGGAACUGAGACACGGUCCAGACUCCUACGGGAGGCAGCAGUAAGGAAUAUUGCUCAAUGGCCGAAAGGCUGAAGCAGCAACGCCGCGUGGAGGAUGAAAUACUUUUGUAUGUAAACUCCUGUAAGAAGGGAAAAUAUUUCGAUUUAUCGGAAUUGAUUGUACCUUCAGAGUAAGC
rnacentral:rRNA from 1 species